GAAUCUCGCGUUAAGGGGAUGAAAGAGGAGCCAUUACAAAGACAGAGAUCUCGACCCAUCGGCAUCAUCGGAGUUACCAUAACAUAAACAACAAUUCGAGUACCCUUGGAUCAUGUGUCCUUUAUAGCACUUUAAACGUCUUAUACCUAAGUGAAAUUUAUGUUAAUCUCGAGAAAAUUGAAAUGUGCUUAUUUACGAUUGGAUAUUGUCUAUAAUGAUGUCACUUUUUGGGUGGAGUUUUUUUCGUGACAUCAUUCGGAAGGUGUGGCUUCCCCAUGACAAUUUGAGACUGCGCAGCUCACAAACGAACGAACAGGAGCUCAUUAAAAUAGGUGGUACGACAGAGACAACAACAUGAAGGACUUUGUUUUUUCUAUUGGUCUGUUAAUCAGUUACACAAACUGUGACUUUCUCUUGAGGUACUUGAGAUGGGCACCAAAGGCAUACUAUUUACCAAUCAAGAGUGGAGGUAACAAACAGGCUCAUUAUGGACUGGUCCUAACUGUUCUGUUGUCAAAGAAAAAACCUUUCAGAACCUUACAGUAAACAGGAAAGAACUCUUAGUGCCGUCUACAGUUCUCCACAGAAAGUACCUUGUAUUCAGCCUGAUGUCUGUUCCCUUAGAGGAGGAAGAUCGAGCGGGAGGCAGAAAAUAAGAUGGCGAGAUAAAGUGAAGGAAGAUAUGGAGAGAAGAGGUUUGGUGGAUGAUGAUGCCUUUGAUAGAUAGAAGGCAGUGGAGAAGGCGCAUCAGGCAACCGACCCCAUAAUGUAGGGAUAACAGUGGGAAAGAAGAAGAAGAAGAGUUUCCUUGCAGGAGCCGCCAAAUUUAUGUACACCCAUAGAUGUACUACCAGACACCUGCCCAACAAUCUACAAUCCUUCAAAAAAUGAAUAACUUUUGGUUUUUAGCAUCUGUAUAAAGUUGAAAAUCUGCCAGAAAUCAUAACAUCCCUUAUACCUGCUUGUAUUGUCGGGCCAGCUUUGUCUAACAGACGACAUCAAGCUUUGUCUGAUCUGUCGCUGACUUUCCUUUCAUGCUAAGAUUUUGUUUUGAGAGGAAUUUUAUAUGACUUCUGCACCUAUGCAGCCUAUUCUGGGGGUUAUAUUUGUAUGUACAGAUGAUAUGUAUCAGGUCUGAAUAUUCGUCAGUUUUUAGAUAUUUCAAAGAUACCUUUGUAUCUAUGAGAUGGCAGUCACUGGAAAGGUUCUUGGGAAAUAAUAAUUUUUUUCUUAUGCUGUACAAUGACUGCAGGGGUAUACUGCUAAAAUUCAUUAUUAGUUUUUCUUCUUUGUCAGUUUCCAAGCCUUGUAACCUCAAUUUUUGUCUAAGUCUUUUGCACAAUCAUGUAUUCAGGCUUAGUCCCUUGGACAAUGAGGCCUUUGUUAGUUGAAGAUUUUGAGAACGGUUUUCCUAAUGCGUUUAGUCUGUUUCUUUAAGCUCCUAAACCUGUACAAUACUUCUGUUGGUUAUGUCGUCUUCAGUAAGUUUAACCUGUAAAUGCUACUUUGUGUUGAGCAUUCUUUUCUUUGUAUUUGAGCUUGUAAGAAAUUAGAUUAGUGGCAUUAUAGUAAUAUCUUUUGUUAAAAAUAGUUAAUGUUUUGGGACUUUGCAAGAAUAAGAAUAAUGAAUAUAAGUACUGUGCAUAUAUUUUAGAAUGAAUUUGUUAAUUGGUAUUAUCAAGUCAUUUAAUGGAAUUAGAAUAUGUAUAAAAGUCAUUGUAUGGUGACAGUACAAUGAAGAAAGUUCAUGAUACAUUACAUACUUGUAUGAUAAACCAUUUGAAGGAUUUGAAGGGAAGAGUCAUUGUAAAAUAUGAGCUUUGCAAAACAAAUGUAAUUUUUAAGCAUUUUAUACCUGUUGCCCUUUAUGACGAAUUUACUUGUUAAGCAGUUGUAAUAAAUUUUACUUGUGCAGAUGCCAUUGAGCUAAAUUCUGUAAUGCGUUACAAUGGGCAUGUUCAUUUUUGCAUAAUUUGUGUCUCCAACUACAUUAAUUUUCCAUGAGCAGGAUAAUGUACGCUUGUAUUGGAUGGAUAUCUUCAUGCACAGAAGUUUUUUAUAUUAAUACUGUAUAGUUCACCUUAGUUCACCCAAGAUUUUGGUCCUGCAUUAACAAACCUUUCCCAACAUGUAAUCAUGACUAUAAGAACUUUUGCCUAUUAAGUAGAUCAGCUGGGAGGAAUGGGUGUGCAUAAAUCACAGUCACUCUUGCAAGAUUUUAUGAUCUUAGACUUUAUAUUUAAAAUGUUCAAAGAGAAGUUAUUUUAUAUGAUUCCCAAGUUAGCCUUGAAGAAAGAAGUAAGUAAUUUUUGUUAAGCAUUCAUUUUGAAUGUUUCGAAUCUAAUCUUAGUGUUUUAAUAUAGUAAUUAUUAGAGAGGGAAACAGGAAAGGAAAAGGGAGACAGCAGUAUCAUGUGGAUCAAAGAAUUUAAACAAGUUGCAGCAUUUUAGCAAACACACAAAGAGAAGGAAAGCAGUCACACAAUGCAUUGAAGUACCUUAUGAUGUAUGAAAUUUAAGGCAUUGUAAAACCAUGAUUCCUUUCUUACGCAAGAAGUUUACUUGUCUUUUUACAUUCUGAUUGUAAAAGACACCUAAACAGGUAUUGUUUGUUGAGUGUCAGACGAGGACCGUUCCUGCAUAUAUUUCUCAUUUUAAGUAUUUAUGGUUUUUUGGAAUUAAAUUGAUGUCAGCAAUUAGUUUUGUAGCCACUACUUAUAUUCCAUCAGAACUAGUUAUUUUAUUUCAUAUUUCACAUGGUAGUACACGUCCUGAUAUAGCAGUUGUCUAAAAAUAUUCCGAAUGUAUCAGUCAUACUUCUUGCAGGAAAUUUCAGGCUUCCUUAGGUGUAUAGCAAUUUGUAUAGCAAUUUCUAAAAGGCAGUCUCUCAUUCAUUUUCCAGUUCAAUGGUGCACAACUAAAAAUUGGAUAAAGGGGUGAAUUUUUUUAUCUGGUACAUUAAAUACAAAGUUCUGCUGUAGAUGGAAGCUCACUGGCAUUCUGCACAUUUGUUGUCCAUGUUUUAUUUUUGUUGAGGUUUUAUUAGAGUUUUAAAAGCCAGAACACAUUUUCAUUUUUGAAAGGUUUUGUAAAGUGAAGCAGAGAUCCCUUUUUUUAUCUUUCAUAUGAAAUGCUCUGAUUUGAAUCUAAAGGGAAGAUUCCUGUAAACUAGAAAGACGUAUCUGUUGAUGGAUGUCAGUUUGAAAUUCAAUGUUUGACAUUUUGUGGGUCAGUGCUAUUGUAAGAGUAUAUUAACCAGACUGCAGACAGAAAUGAUAUAGAGAGGUAUUUCUCAAAUAGAUGGAUUCUGAAAUAAGAGUGAAUUUGAGUAAGGAAGAGUUGUAAAUCAGUUGUCAGUUAAUAUUGUUUAUAACUUAUCAGUUCACUAUCUGAGCCUUUUGAAAAUAGAAAAAAAGACACUUUUUCUCAAAUGUUUUCCAUUUUUGGUAUUAAAACCAGCCCAAGAAGAACCUUUGUAAAGCUCAAAGUUCUGGUCAAAAUAAUCUUUUAUCCUAUCCUAUCCUUUUGAAAUUAAAAGAAAAUAUUUUUUUUAUUUUUGAAUGGUAUCAGUGUGUGUUCUGCCUAUUAAUACUCCUAGACUAUUAAUACUCAUAGACUUUAAAUUUAGUAUGGUAGUAUCUCAUUGCAGCAGUGGCCAAAUCAAAAAGUGCAUUUUUAAUGGCAGUUUUCAUUUUUAGGUGGCCAUGAAUUGGCUGUUACAAUCCAUUUGAAAUAGUUAGUUUAAUAUGAAUAAAAAAUGUAGUAUUUUGCUCACUUAGUUUAGAGGGUAUAGUUUAAAGAGUAUAUUACUGAGACUUAUUGCAAGUUUAGAUGAAGGUAACCAAGUGCUAGGUAAAAACAUAUUACAAAGGCAUUUAGCUGACUGGUUAAAACUCCUUUGUCUGAGAGAGCCCCCUGCCUGCUAUCAGUUGCAAGAAUCUCAAAACUUCAGUUGAGCUUAGAAAUUCAAGAAAAAGCUUUUAGUUCUGCAAUAUUUGCAGAAUGGUACUUUUCUCUUUUCUCUUGAAGUUUACCAAAAACUGUUGCUUCUGCUAUUAACUUUAUUCAAGGGACUGAGUGAAAAUCAAAGACCAUCAAUUGGAUGGGCAUUAGUAGUUAUCUUCUCCUGCUUCAUAUAUUAGAAAAGACAAAUGUCCAAGGUAGGGUCACAAGUCUGUAUACCAUCCUUGAUCAGACUAACUUUUUUGGAAAACUGGUGUAAGACUCACUCUGCAACACCCAGUCAUCAAGAGAGUAAGCUGAGGUUGGUAAUUUUCUGGUUGUAGGACAUAAAUACUGCACCAGACUCCUUGAACUAACUGUCUACUAGAGAAAUCUUAGAUAUUCAAUUUAUUUUACCUAUAAAUACGUAAAUAUUACUAAAAAAAAUUACGUAUUCCAUAUUCUUGCAUUUUCAACUUGAAAUGGACUCAUCCCAGUCACUCUGACAGGGAAAAAUAAUUUGGAAUGCAGAGGUGAAGAAGUGAGACACUGGGCUUUCCCCAGUCAAUGGAGUUUUCACCCAUUGGCAACAACAGAUUUGAUAGGUUUCAAAGCAAUAACUCGGCUCUUAGUUUUCUUUGGGCUUAGACAUUGUUUCUGCCUUUAAGACAUAAUAAUUUGUAUGAAGGAUUGUUCAUGUUAGGUUAUAUGUAACUUCAAGAUUGUUCAUUUUCAGUUCGUGUUCAUAGAUAGCUUUAUAUUUAGUUUAGGUCUCUUUGCAUUGAGGUUAGUAUGAUCCGUUGAUGUUUAGGUCUCUUUGCAUUGAGAUUAGUGUGAUCCGUUGAUGUUUAGGUCUCUCUGCAUUGAGAUUAGUAUGAUCCGUUGAUGUCUAGUCCUUUUUAUGAGUUUAUUUGUAGACUAAACAGUCUGUUUCUUACAGUGGAAUAUAAUGCCUUAAUUUUUAAUGUCGGUUAAAAAUUUAUAGUCAUUAAUGCAGUAAUUUUAGUGUAUGAAUUUGACUUGCAAAAUCUCUUUUCAGUAAUUCUUUCAAUUCCAUUUUUUUUAUUGUUUAGGAGAUGAGUAUUUUGUGAUUAGUGCACUUGUUUAAUGAAAUGAUAGAGUAAAAGAAUUUGGCCAAUGCUGCACUGUGGUACAUCUCCUAGUCAGUUUAUAUAUAUUAUUGUACAUUUUAAAUGGUUUCCUGACUGUAAUUUGGUUAUAUGUAAAGAGGACUUUUAUCAUUCUUGAGUUGGUUAGCUUUACUCUGUCAUCAAAAAUUUCUUUACAAAUUAGCAAAGAAGGCUUACCAUGUUGCUUUGUGUGGUAACACAGUGAGUUAAGGUAUAAUGGGUAGAUAUUUUAUUUGCUUUUAAUUAUGGAUCGUGAGGUAAAGAUACGAAUGAAUCUAGCUUGACAUUAUACUAUUUAUAUAUUCCAAGUUCAGAUAAAUAUUUGUAAUGAAGACAAUAUUCAGGGUGCCGUAGGUGGAAGUAAAUGAUUAAUUGGACAAGGUGGACCUAGGAUUCUGAAUUGUUGUCAUUUUAGGUAUGUACUGUGAGGUGUGCUUUGUAAUUUAUAGCUUUAUCAGACCACCCAGUAACAAGCCCUGAGACUGUGUCUGAAGAGAGUUUAUAAAUGUAAUUUAUAAUUUUGUCAAAGCUCUUUACAAUAAUAAUAGUAAGAAGACAAAGGAGAUUUUGAGAAGGGUUGAUUAUGGGAUGUUAAGAUUUAAAGCCAGAGUAGGUUGGAUGCGCAUGAGGAAAUAUUGGACAUACAUCGGGUUAAGUAGCUCUGAACAGACUUGGAUCUCAAAGACUGAGAUGGUCUGGACAUGUGAUGAGAAGGGAUAAGGAAGAGUAUGUCAGAAAGAUAGUAAAAAUAGAAGUAGCAAGACCAAGAGACUUGUAAAAAAGGCCCAGGAUAAUGUAGAAAAAGAUGAUAGAUCAAGGCCUAUAUCAGGUAUGAAAUGAGGUUGAAAUUUUUGUCCUUAGAUGAUGAUGACUAGUAAAUAUAAUAGUUGUUAUUAAUAAUGAGUAGUGGGGGGACAGAGGGGAAUUGCAAAGAAAAUUUAGGACACAAGAUAGGUGGAAAACUGAAUGAUUUAUACUAAUGUCCAAUCUAGGAGUUUGACAAAAAGUAAUAGCAUUGUGUUGAAGGAGUUGUAUAAGGAGCAUAAAGCAGUUUAAUCAAAAGCAGUGAGGUUUCUGUUUCUGUUAAGGAAUUAAGGGUAAAGGGAACCGUUUACCACUUGAUGACAUGCAUCAUUGUCAGAAAGAUGAAUACAUAAGGAAUCAUUUAAGAAUAUUUUGUAAAUUAUUUAGCUAGACUUUUAUUUUGUAAAUUAUUAGCCAGACUUUUAACAAAGAAUUCAAUAGAAUUUUGCUGCAGAGUUAAAUGUGGUCUCCCAUGCUCAUGCCAAAAGAAAGUCCACUUUGUAUUGUUGACAUUGCUCUUAAGUUCAGUUUAAAGUUGAAGUUCUCUUCCAGAUGUACAUAGUUUAGAUGAACUGGAAAGAAUAAAGGCUUGUGCCCACACCCCAAGGGGCUGGUCUUGUAAGACUGAGCUGGUGCUACUUGAGCCAUCCCAACUGCUGCCCUGCUACUGGAAGCCUUAUGGGAGUCAAACACUCCAGAGUGACUAUUGUGGUUUGGUUUGCUCACUCUUCUCUAAGUGGAAAUGUGACAACUGUUUGGGUACUGGAAGCAUUUUGUCCCCCGGACAUGUACCAGUUGGUUAAUAUUUACUGGAAUAGGUAUCUCGAAUCAACUUCAUAAGAAUAUAGAUCUUAAGAUCGUGAUGUUGACAUUUUUAUCGUACUGGUAAUGUAUAGCAUUUUACUUCAAUGAUUUGAAAUUUGCAAAGGUGUUUUAACUGUCACAAAACCAAAGAUAAUUGUGGAUACAGGAUAACCUGGAAAAAAUCCUGAGUCAUAGUAGUAAUUUGCCUUGAUGUCUAUGUUCAAGUUCUGCUUAGCUAACAAUAAUCCCAGUACUAUUUAUAACAAAAUGAAGUUAAUUCACGGAAAUGUUUUUGUAUUUUUGUGAGAUGUAUCUGUAUUAGUUUGGACUUGAAGCCAGUUUAUAGCAUUCUGUCUGGGGAAACAUAGAAAAGCACAAAUAAUGUGAAUGUAAGCAUCAUUAAUUCUUGGGCCUUUUGUAGUUUAUGAUUGUACCCUGUCCCAUGAAGGACACAGAAGAGUUUCAAGGACACCUUUAUAUUCAGGGUAUCAAAAACUUUCUAGAAGGGGGAUCAGUAGCCCUCUAUGCAUGUCCAAGUUUCAUUGCAUGCAUUGUUUCUUAUUGUACAGUUGACUGAAGAAGAGUGUAACAAGCAAAUGGUUGCAUCAUUUCACCCAGAACUGGUGCAGCAUGAGCCUUUCAUUUCCUUAAAUUGCCUGUACAUGUAUUGUUACUUCCUGCUGAUUUGUAUCAAAGGAUGGAGCAAAUGGUCACAAUAAUUCCGAGAGUAAAUUCAUGUGGAUAAUGGAGUAAUUAAAUUUUUUACAUUAAUUGUUUUUAUAAAUUCAUAACUGUCAAAAACACGUUUUAAAUAUUGCUGUCGUGUGUGUGUAAUGAGCUAUUUCUUAUGCUAGGGAAUACAUUUUAGACUGCAGUGAUAUAUAUGGAUAGACUUUUCAAAAGCAGAGUUGUUCGUCAUUACAGAAAUGUUCACAGGAGUGUCUGUUUCUGCAAAGUUUGGAUUGUAGACAAAUAUUGUGGUUCACUAUGUCUUCAUCAUUUGUCUUCAGUAUUCCAUUGCCUAAUCGCAUUGUCGGUUAGCUUUAGUGAAUUACAGUAGUACAUAUUUGUGUUAAUGAUGCACUCUUUAGGUUUUGGACUUUGCUAUUCCAAGUUUAACAAUGACAGAUAGUGACUUGUUGUCUGGUUUUGUCAAAUGGUAAGAUGUGCUAUGGAAGCCUGUAAAUUUGUUGUCAUGAUAGAAGAGAUUGUAUAUUAAAUCCAUGGCUGAUCCUAGAGGAAAAAAUUGCACAAAAAAUUGAUGAUGAUAGUUAUGAUAUUAGCUCUACCUUUAAGCCUCUAUAGGAGCUUAAGACAAUUCUUGGUAUGAAGUGAAAGGAAUUAUCACAGCUUCAUCCAUUACUUGUGAACAUAAAAAAAGAUGAAAUCUUAAAAUCUUUCCAACAUACAUUUAAAAAAAUAAGCAGCUAGAUGAAAUGAAGCAACAGGCAUAAUACUCCCUUAUCUCUAACAAAAUUUUUCACUAAACCAGUCAUGCUUUUGUCCACAUAUAAGGUUUACUUUCUUGUUAAUCUACAAAAUAAACCUAUUCACCUUCUUAUUCCACUUCUAUCUGUUCACUUUUUGUUUUUUGGUGGCAUUCCAAAGCAUUGUAAAGUAAUUGUUUUGGUCCAAUUACUGACAUAUUGAGAACAUACAGGAUUACUGUGUUCUCAAAAGUAAUAAUUAUGUACCUGAAGGCAUGUUUCAUAUGGUGAUACUCAACUUACUUCUCAAACGAGGAGUCCUUGUGUUUGCUGUAUCAUCAGUUUUGGUCAGUCUCAAUAAUCAGAGUUGAGGUUAGGAUAAACGUUUUAUGGAUUACAGUGUGAUAUAUUUACUAGUUUUUUUUUCUGGAAGUUAUUGUUCAACAGUUUUGCUGUUCACCCCUGUCAUAUCACUUCUUGAGCACUUUAUCCUGUUCCUGUCUCCAGGAAUCUUAAUGUCACAGCUUACAACACUAUCAUUACAGAGUUCACACUUCCACCAGCCAAGGAUGUAAAGAUUUGUUAUUUUCUCAUGAUGCAUUUUAAAUCCAUUUUGAAGGUUUAGUGUGUUCUCCAUUCCUGAAUUCCCACAAGAUUUUUCUUUGAGACUGGCUUCAGUUGGGAUAAAAUUGAUUUAGAUUUUGUAAGAUUAAUGAACUUUAUACUCCAUAUCAUUCUGGUCAGAAGGAGGUGUUGUGUGCUCGCAUACAUAAAUCCAUUCUGAAUUGUUGGCCUGCAGUUUGGAAAAUUUAUUCAGUAUAUUGUGCCCAAAUCUUUCCUGGAUUUAAUAAACUCUGGGGGAUUUAUUUUGGGUCUGGUUUGUAGGUCUGUUUAAAUUUCUCUCUCUUGUCUAAAGAGUUUCUUUUAUGAUUUUGAAUCUUGUCUUGAGUUUCCUUCUUUUAGCAGGAGAGAUUUUCUUUGUCAUCUAGAUACCUUUUUCUCUGUUCUAAAAGUUUCCUUUCAUGCUUGCUCUUUGUAAAUCCAUUAUGGAUUUCAUCCUGUUUUGUGUAAACAAUCUAGAAGUUAUUGCAUUGUUUAGUCUAAUUUAAAAGUGGCCAAAGCCUCAUAAAUAAGCAUAAUCUUCUCUUUAUCAUAUUUCAUUUUUGUGUGUGCGAUCUCUGUGUAAGGUCUCCUUGUCAGUACUAAUCCCAUUUACCCUUACAGAUUUUAGCACUCUUAUUUUACUCAGUAAGAAAUCAGUUGUUACUGACCUUUCUGAAGUGUUUAUUUGGUUGACGCUGCCAUUAGCUGUUCACCUGAAUGCUAGGCCACUCGCUUGAUAGCAAGGCACAUGUCAAACAUUACAGCUCUUGAUGCUGAUUGAGAGUUGUGAUUCAAGCAUCAGUUGAUAAGAUCAGUCCAUUUGUUAAGUAGUAAUUACCUGUAAUGCAAUUAACAAGUGUAACUUUUCUUGGGUAAACAAUACACACAUAGCCUUCAUUUGCCAGCAUUUGUUUAUUUAGUUCUAAUAAGUAACAGGCUGUUUUGGCAUUUUUCAUUUUUUUAUUUGUAGUUUCCUGAAAGAAGUCCUCAUCUGCUUUGCUAAAACUUCAAAUACUAAGUAGUAGACCAUGACUAUUGAACACUUGAUUCUCAUUCUCUCUCUCUCUCUCUGUUUGGUAUCAGGUUAGCAUAUUUUUGCUUCUGACUUUCAAACUUAAAAUUUCUCCAAAUGGAAGGUCUUGCUUUCAGUAUGCUGUUAUUAAAUUGUAAUAUGUGCAACAGGGCCUGUCUAUAAUUUUCCCUGCACUUCCUUUUUUCCUCCUCAUAUCCUAUAAUUUCCACAGUUGAUAUCUCAUCCGGCUGUUCUGUAUGUAUUUUACUAUGUGCAUCACAAGUUUUUCUCACCUUUCGUUAAAUCAUAGCACAGGACCACAGUCUAAUUUCAUUGUUUGUCCUUGCCACAGUCAAAUUUCACCCCUAGGUUAUGUACUUAGUUGCAAAAGUUUUCAUUUGUCAAUGGAUGUCUUAUGUUGUUGUUAUAUUAUUGUGCUUCAUUUGUGAUUGAUCCUUGAUUUCAAAAGUAUAUUUGGGUUAUGAACGUCUAGUUUGGUUAGUAUUUGUAGGUGGCAUCAGGCUGAGCACUGAACCUGCUCUUAGAGCAGCCCAUAUUUUCUGACUUUUUCAUUCUUUUGGGUGUUCAGCUUGCUGAUGUAUUAGAGAAAGGGUAGUUGUCCAUUCUGGUGUCCCCUUAGUCAGAGAGGAAGUGUCAUUGAAAUGAAUUCCAACUAAAGUUUAGAAUACCAGGAAUUAGAUUUUGUAGUCAGGAAGUGACACAAACAGUAGGAAGAGAUGGUAUGGUUAAUCCUAGCAUCUAAUGAUGAACCAUAAGGAACGAAGAGUUUUUGAUAGAGAAAAGUUUUCUGCAAGCUUUUGAUUUAAGUCUUGGGUUGCCAUUAUAGUAGUAACUGAAAUAGGAUGGUAUGAUUCUAAGAUUUGGACCUUGCACAUUUAGAUUUCUUGAUAGUUUUGUAGUUUCAAAGUUUUGUGAAGCUCAUUCAUAAGUCUGAAAGCUCACAGAGAAUGUUUUUAUCAAAAGGGUCUAGAUGAAGGUUAAAAAAAAACUGUUAUACAGGUUGGCAGACCUUAAAGAUUUUAGUAGCCCUUACCAUCUUGUGCUCUAGGCAUCCGCAUAAUUGAUGAAGCAAAUUUCUUUAUUCAGUGUGCAAUAAAAAGGAUCAGCAUGGAUGCUACAACUGAGGUCAGGUUCUUCCUUCCUCUGGAUUCUUGCAUGCAUGAGAAUAUAUUUUGUGUUGAUGGUUAAUUCAGUUUUGUUGUUCACUGCCUGUGCCCUGAAUAUGCUAUUGAUUUUAGCCUGUCUUUUCAUUGGUUUUUGUAACACUCAUGCCUUCCUGGUUCCUAAACUACUCUGGUGAUUGAUGUUAAGUUUGAUUUUGGUCAGAGGAACUCUCCAAAAGCAUUUAGUAGUUUAUUGAGUUUGGUCAGAGGAGCUCUCCAAAAGCAUUCAGUUUCUUGCAAAAGGAAAAGAAAUCGAGAAUUGAGACUUCGUUUUGUAAUGUUCUGCCCUUCUAUUUACUAAGUAUUGGUUAUUGAUGUGCUGUUGACAACGUCCUCUGCUGCUCCUUAUCUUGUGCUUGGAGGACAUCUUAUCUUGUUUCUAGGAGGACAGCAUCAUUGCUUACUAUGGAAAGUAGCUGUUUCCUCAGUCACAGUCUUUAUAGUGGACAAGAUUUUAGGAGACCAGCCGCAAUAUUUUGUAAUCCAAUCUUUCCCCAGUGUUGUAUAGUAGAUUGCUUUUCUGAUUUGCUGGACUGCCUUUCUAAAUUGUUGGAGUGCCUUUCAGAGUUGUUGGAGUUUUAUUCUUCAAAUUGGUCGAUAGAGACCUAAGGUUAAGGUUAGAAGUUCUUUUCUUAUUCUCAGUUAAUUACUUACGGUUGUCUUCAUAGCCUAGUUUUCUAGUGAGGCUGCUUCCAAGCUUGUUACUUUGGACUCUGAAAACAGGUUGUGUUACACAGUAGUAAUGUUUUACAAUUUCUGAAAAGAUUUAUUUGUUAGGUUUGAGCUUUUUCACACUUCAUGUAGUAGGUGUUGUUGCAAGCAAUGUCAUUUGAAAGACAUAUUAGGUUGGAUGUUGUAUUGUUAUUGAUUGGCUUAACUUUAAAUUAACUUUACCUAGAUUGGUGCACUCAUCUUCAAUUAGAGGCAGGCAUUAUUUCAUUGUAAUUUCCAGUUUCCAUGUCCUAAUACAUACAUACAAUUGGUACAUGGUCUGGUUUGUACAAAUGUCUUUUUCCUACUGUUAUGAUGAUGAUGGCUAAGAGUUUCCCUGUUUAUACUGAUAUAACAGGUGCAAGGAAUAGUAUUUCAGUGUGAAGGUAAUAUCAGUGGGCAAAUGUUAUUGAAUGUUUGGCUUUCUCCCAGGCCUACUCCUAGCCUGUUACUCUGAAUUGCACAGCAAAUCAGUUAUUGCCCUUGUGUAGAUGAUAAAUUUUUUUUUUAUAUGUUGGUGCUAGAUGAGUAUGAAAAUUGGCAGUUGGUUAGUUUCAUUGCUAAAGUCAAACCCCUUUAUGAGCAGACUCCAAGACCAUUUCCAUCUUUGCCAAUUCUCCUUAACCCAGCUACCUUCGCUUCACUAAGAGAAGGGAAAAAAAUGACAAACUUGGAGAUCUGGCAUACUUUGUGCCACUUCUUCACUUUGGUCAGAUCACUGAGACCCUUGGUCAAAUCGUAUAAAAUGGGUUGAGAUAAUCUUCCGUAUUCAUUGUCUCGCACAGCAAGCUUCCAUAAACACCAUGGAGAGUUCCCCACAGCGUGUCCUUUGUUCUGAAGAACGCAAAAUGGUAUACAUGUACAAGUUUUUUAAAUGGAAAAAAGAAAAUGGAAUUUCCAUGUUUGGAAUCAAUCAAGCAGAUGCACCAAAGAUAUCAAAAGCAACUUUCAUCAGAUUUGUAAAGAAGCUAGGGAAAAGGAAGAAGAAUUUUGAGAGCUGGUUUUUAUGGAAAAGAAAAUGAAAAGAUAAAAAACCGUAACAAAUUGGACGAUUUCGAUCGAUGCGUUAUACGGCGAACUGUAUUGGCUUUUUAUGCAAGGAAAGAAAUUCCGAAGAUAGACAGUUUUACAUGUGAAGGAAAAUAUUGGGUAAGGAAACAAUUUAGAGGGAUAGUACCAAAUUAAAGGAUUAUCUACUUUGACCAUUCAUAUCUGGGAUAACGAGGCGAAGCCGUGGAUCUCGCCUCGAAGGUCUCGGGGAUUCUCUUGUGCGAGCGCCACAGUGGUGUGCCUGGGGAUGAACGUCAGGAAUUCCGUCUGUAGCAGGAAUCGUAUCAUUAAACUACUCUUUCUCUUUAUCUUAGUCUGCCCAUUGAUUAAAGAGGUCAAACCAGGUGUGAAUUAAAAUGGUCAGAAGGAUCUGGCAACGUCGCAAAUGGGCUCGGAGUCCGCUCGUAUAUUGGUUUGACUAUAGCAGUUUACUUGCAAUAAACAGAAUCCAUAAAUGUUAUUGAGUAUGGUCAUAAAUUAUUUGGACCAUAUCUACUUAAAGUCUGUUGGUGUGUCAGAGUCAGUGAAGGCAAAAAUGUAAAGUUGUAUAUUAAGGACAUCCAGAAAUUGAAGAUGGCCAGCACUAAGACAAGCAAUAAAAAGGAUAUAUUUCCUAUAUUUAUAUGUCUUUAGGUUUAUAGAGUAUGCAGGAAAUAACUUUACUAUGUACAGGUGGUGUAAUUUAAUGUAGAGGUCAGGUAGUCAUCCUCUAAGGAAGGUAUUUGGAUGCUACGGUUUGGUAUCUAAGGUUACCUUGAUAACAUUGGUAUGUCAUUCAGAGUCUUACCUUGGUGGGUGUACUGCCUGUGCUAACUCGUCAAUGUAGGGGAAUGUGACAGUAGUCCAAUUGGAUGCCUUAUUGGCUGGGGUGAAGCUUUAUGGUGUCCGGGUAGUACCCUGCAUUGACAUCAUCCCCUCUUCCAAAAUCUCUUGCCCAUACGAGAAGCACUGUGUGAAUGUAACUCUUGGAUUUGUGUUCAGCCCUACUGCUUUCUAGGGAACUUUUGUUAUCCUGAUAUAAUAAAAUGCACUUGAAAUAAGUACUACUCUACCGUCAGUGGUGACCUGGGACGUAUAAGUAAAUUAAAAAUGUCUGAGCAUUAAUGAUAUUACAGUCAUGUUCAUUUAAGUGUUUUUUAAAUUUUACUGAAUAAAAGAAGACAUUCACAAGUUUCAGCUUUCAAUGUCGGUUUCAACUCGAGUAACAUACAUUUCUCAGCUAAGGUAAGAAAAGUGCUCUUUCUUAUAAUUCGCAUUAAUAAUUUACGAUAUUCAAGUUUUCAGUCUGUUCUUUAAAGAAUUGUGAAAUGACACUGCCAAAAUUAGGCUAGAUCACUAAAUGAGCUAGUUUUUAUUGCCAUUUGUCACUCCAGUACUUUCAAGAAGGCAAAUUUGCUCUCAGAUUAGACCAUGGGAGAGAUUGACUUGGUCUAGUUUCAAGUAUGACUAAAGAAUUUUUUAAGUCCUAUUGUGUCCAAAAUUAUUUUUCUGGUUCCGUAACUUAACACCUUUAUGAAUAUCAACCAAGCACUAACUUUUUAUCACUAAGGAAAUAAAUUGUCAGCAAGAGUCUAAAGUUUUGAUUGUUAUGAAGCUUCUUUAGACUUAUUCCAGUGGAAAAUUAACAACUUAGAUAGUGUUCUGGUGACAGAAUGCUUCCAGUAAGCAAAUAUGUUUGACUUCAUAGGUUCUCUGGUCUGUAGGGCCGUAGAAAAGGCUCUUAUUGCCACCAGUUUUAUGAGGUCAGCCCCUAUUUUGGAGGGGGACACUGAAUUACUGGUAAAACAAAAAUUCUAAAUUUACUAAAAAUGUUUUUGCUAAAUUUACUAUUGUAAUAUUUUCAUGUUUUAUUGGAAAUAAAAAGCCAUGUUGAUAA